rnacentral:rRNA from 1 species
UGGGCUACACACGUGCUACAAUGGACGAUACAAACGGUUGCCAACUCGCGAGAGGGAGCUAAUCCGAUAAAGUCGUUCUCAGUUCGGAUUGUAGGCUGCAACUCGCCUACAUGAAGCCGGAAUCGCUAGUAAUCGCGGAUCAGCAUGCCGCGGUGAAUACGUUCCCGGGCCUUGUACACACCGCCCGUCACACCACGAGAGUUUGUAACACCCGAAGUCGGUGAGGUAACCUUUUGGAGCCAGCCGCCGAAGGUGGGAUAGAUGAUUGGGGUGAAGUCGUAACAAGGUAGCCGUAUCGGAAGGUGCGGUUGGAUCACCUCC